AAAGGUAUAGCUCAGUGGUAGAGCGCAUGCCUAGCAUGCAUGAGGUCCUGGGUUCGAUCCCCAAUAACUCCA
rnacentral:tRNA from 1 species